UACGUAGGGGGCAAGCGUUGUCCGGAAUCAUUGGGCGUAAAGAGCGUGUAGGCGGUCCGGUAAGUCGGCUGUGAAAGUCCAGGGCUCAACCCUGGGAUGCCGGUCGAUACUGCCGGACUAGAGUUCGGAAGAGGCGAGUGGAAUUCCCGGUGUAGCGGUGAAAUGCGCAGAUAUCGGGAGGAACACCGAUAGUGAAGACAGCUCACUAAGCUCAAACUGACGCUGAGGCACGAAAGUGUGGGGAUCAAAACAGG
rnacentral:rRNA from 1 species